rnacentral:rRNA from 1 species
UACGAAGGGGGCUAGCGUUGCUCGGAAUCACUGGGCGUAAAGCGCACGUAGGCGGAUCUUUAAGUCAGGGGUGAAAUCCUGGAGCUCAACUCCAGAACUGCCUUUGAUACUGGGGAUCUCGAGUCCGGAAGAGGUGAGUGGAACUCCGAGUGUAGAGGUGAAAUUCGUAGAUAUUCGGAAGAACACCAGUGGCGAAGACGGCUCACUGGCCCGAUACUGACGCUGAGGCACGAAAGCGUGGGGAGCAAACAGG